rnacentral:rRNA from 1 species
AUUGAACGCUGGCGGCAGGCCUAACACAUGCAAGUCGAACGAGUCGCGCGGGUGUGUGUAGUGUCUGGAACACUGCCUGAUGGAGGGGGAAAACUUCGGAAAAGGGUGGCUAAUCCCCCAUACCUUCAGAUGGGCCUAGAUGGGAUUAGCUUGUUGGUGGGGUAACGGCUCACCAAGGCCACGAUCCCUAGCUGGUCUGAGAGGAUGACCAGCCACACUGGAACUGAGACACGGCCCAGACUCCUACGGGAGGCAGCAGUGGGGAAUAUUGCACAAUGGGCGCAAGCCUGAUGCAGCCAUGCCGCGGGUAUGAAGAAGGCCUUAGGGUUGUAAAGUAUUUUCAGCGGGGAGGCGUUACCCGCAGAAGAAGCACCGGCUAACUCCGUGCCAGCAGCCGCGGUAAUUC